rnacentral:rRNA from 1 species
CCGCCCGGUCACCCUGACCACCCACCCGCGGAACACGAAGCCGGAGGAGAGGCUCGCCUCGAACCUUCUUUCUCCUUCACCCGGCCUCCACGCAACGCGAACGAAACCGAAGUCCCAAAUCAAUCCAUUUCAUUUCGGUUUCGAAUCCCCUGGGGACGAGCUCGCGUCGCCUUCCCCCUCCGCCCGCCCCGUCGCCAUCCGCCCCCUUCGAAUCUGCAGGCGGCGCCGCCUGGCCUCGUUGUCGCCACGGGAGGCGCGCGGGAUGGGGCGGUUGUUUGCGGUGGACGCCGCGGCGGCCUCGUCGGCCGCGGCCGCAGCGGCGCUGAACGGCGCGGUGGACUGGUGGAAAGACGUGAACGACUCGCCGAUGUGGCAGGACCGCAUCUUCCACGCCCUCGCCGUGCUCUACGGCAUCGUCUCCGUCGUCGCGCUUGUCCAAUUGAUCAGAAUCGAGUGCAGGGUGCCCGAGUACGGGUGGACGACGCAGAAGGUGUUCCAUUUCCUUAACUUCAUCGUGAAUGGCGUGCGGGCUAUCGUGUUUGUGCUGCGGCGAAACGUGCAGCUGAUACAACCAGAGAUACUUCAACAUGUGGUUCUUGACAUGCCUGGGCUUGCGUUCUUCACUACAUACGCGCUUUUGGUGCUAUUCUGGGCCGAGAUUUACUAUCAGGCACGUGCGAUGUCGACUGAUGGGCUGAGGCCAACUUUCUAUUGGAUCAAUGGGGUGGUGUAUGCAAUUCAGAUAAUUCUGUGGUUGGUUUUGUGGUGGAAACCAGUUCGAGUUAUGGUCAUAUUGUCCAAGAUGUUCUUUGCAGGCGUAUCACUGUUUGCAGCUUUUGGGUUCCUUCUGUAUGGUGGGAGGCUAUUCCUCAUGUUGCAACGUUUUCCCGUAGAAUCAAAAGGACGACGGAAGAAAUUGCAGGAGGUUGGCUAUGUCACUACCAUCUGUUUUACUUGUUUCUUGAUCAGAUGUGUCAUGAUGUGUCUCAAUGCAUUUGAUAAAGCGGCUGACCUUGAUGUUCUGAGCCAUCCGAUUCUGAAUUUCUUUUAUUACCUGCUGGUCGAGAUCGUACCUUCAGCUAUGGUUCUGUUUAUACUAAGGAAACUGCCCCCAAAACGUGGGAUCACGCAGUACCAUCCUAUCCAUUAGAGCAGAGCAGCCCUGGUACCAGGCUGGUACAGACAAAUGCUUCUUACAGAAUUGGUAAAUACAGGAGAGGCAAUGUGAAGAUCACCGCACUUGCACUGAAGCUUGCCCAGGUUUUAAAUGAGGAAGCCUUUAGGAUUUCAGGUUGCUAUUGCUUGUAAAAGAGAUUUGCAAUGUAGUUCAAAAAAAGAAGAGAUUUGCAAUGUCAUGCUGUUUACAGGUCUAGAAAAAUGCAAGUUAUAUAAUGUAUGUAUACCUUUGUUCUUCUCAGUACUUUCCACCUUGUAGUCUGCACCGCGCCACAGCAAUCACGGCUGGAACCGCAUAUUUGAUUUUUGACCCACCUUGCCAUUUCACC